GAUUGUGAGGACAGGUUACCAGGAAGAUCAGGUUCUCUGAAGGUUUUAAUGCACACGUAUGCAGGCAUGCGUCACGACCAGUCUGUUUUAAAGGACAAUUCCUCAUAUCUCCACACAUGGGUCUAUUUUACAGCAACAGGUGGAACUGUGAGGCUCACCAGCUCAUUUCUUGUGCUGAAAUGAGUCAACAAGAAACGAGAGGCAAUGGUCAAAGGACUUUCUGGAAGACCCGGCCCCCGUCCGUUCCUCCAGGCUUCUCCCCUGGGAAACCCCGAGGCAGCGCUUGGAAUGAUCACAGGCCUGGGUCAGUCCACUGAGGCAGCACAAGGUUGCUUGGUAAUACAAAGAUACCGAAAUUUUAACUGUAAGACGCAGGAGAAAGACUUUUUGGCAUCACCGAGAGUUUCCAAGAGCCCUCCCUGGAACAGCGGUGUUUCUCCAAGGGUGUAGGACACCUUUUUAACUUGAGUAAAAUAACAGCCUCUGUUUGUUUGUUCUCCCUUAAGAUGUAGUUACUUCAUUUUUCCCCCUGUCUGUUCAAAAUCAAUAAACAGGAAACCAG